AGAGAAAAUAUGAGGAGGCGUGAGUGAAAAAGGAUGGUGCACAUAAUGGGUGGGUGUGGGGUUUUUGACUCCUCAUCCUUUCUUUCUUACAACCAAAGGUUGGUUGUUAAGGUCUCUUCCUCUCUCUCCCUCUUUGUCGAAGAGUUGGACAUGACUUUCUCUCCCCUUUUUCUUCACAGAUGUUUAAGAGUUGGACAUGCCUUCUUCUCUAUGAUCAGUUCAAGGUUGG
rnacentral:lncRNA from 1 species